rnacentral:lncRNA from 1 species
GUACCAUCUGUUGUCAUUUUUCUUGACUGCCCAGAGGUUGUGGUUAACCUAAAUCCAGCUGGUAAUGUUUCUGAGGACCCAGGCAUCAUGCUGAUUCCAUGUACUUCACGAGGAGGAAACUGCCUUCUCCAGGUUGAUCCACGUCUGAAGUUCUUGUCAUCACUCUGCCAGUACAGUUUUAAGAUCUCUUUUGAAUAACAGGUGGACUUACUUCAUCCAGUCGCCUUUCAGUUCCCAGGGCCAAGAGGUUAUUGUAUUCCCUUUCAAGAAUCUGCCUUGCCUGUUGACGUCAAAUUACAGUUACCAUCACCGAAAUCACAUUUUAUUUUAAAAAUCAUGUAGCUUAUAUUUAUCUGAUAAUGUAUUAUAAACCAUACUUUAUUUAUGGGUUUUGAAGUUUUU